rnacentral:sRNA from 1 species
AGCCGCACUUGUUCGAUUGGGAAACUCAUCAUAAAUAUCAGAAUUCCGAGACACGCUCUUGGCACCAAUGGCGGGCUGCAACCUUCGGGUUUGCCUCUCGAGGCACAGCAGAUUACAACGAUGUCAAUGGCACUCAAAUCUUGUCAUUCGGAGUUUGUUCAAUUCCACAGUGCGGCUUUCA